UUCCGGUUGAUCCUGCCGGAGGUUACUGCUAUCGAGGUUCGACUAAGCCAUGCGAGUCGAAUGUAGCAAUACAUGGCGUACUGCUCAGUAACACGUGGACAACCUACCCUCCGGACGGGUAUAAACCCGGGAAACUGGGUAUAAUCCCCGAUAGAUCUCGGUCGCUGGAAAGCCCCGAGAUCGAAAGCUCCGGCGCCAGAGGAUGGGUCUGCGGCCUAUCAGGUAGUAGUGGGUGUAGCGUACCUACUAGCCUACGACGGGUACGGGUUGUGAGAGCAAGAGCCCGGAGAUGGAUUCUGAGACACGAAUCCAGGCCCUACGGGGUGCAGCAGGUGCGAAAACUUUACAAUGCCGGCAACGGCGAUAAGGGGACCUCGAGUGCCAGGUUACAAAUCUGGCUGUCGUGAUGCCUAAAAAGCAUUGCAUAGCAAGGGCCGGGCAAGACCGGUGCCAGCCGCCGCGGUAACACCGGCGGCUCGAGUGGUAACCGUUAUUAUUGGGUCUAAAGGGUCUGUAGCCGGCCGGAUAAGUCUCUUGAGAAAUCCAGCAGCUCAACUGUUGGGCUUUCAGGAGAUACUGUCUGGCUCGAGGCCGGAAGAGGUGAGAGGUACUUCAGGGGUAGGGGUGAAAUCUUGUAAUCCUUGAAGGACCACCAGUGGCGAAGGCGUCUCACCAGAACGGACCUGACGGCAAGGGACGAAAGCUAGGGGCACGAACCGGAUUAGAUACCCGGGUAGUCCUAGCCGUAAACGAUACUCGCUAGGUGUCGGCCACGGUGCGACCGUUGUCGGUGCCGUAGGGAAGCCGUGAAGCGAGCCACCUGGGAAGUACGGCCGCAAGGCUGAACUUAAAGGAAUUGGCGGGGGAGCACCACAACGGGUGGAGCUUGCGGUUUAAUUGGAUUCAACGCCGGA
rnacentral:rRNA from 1 species